rnacentral:rRNA from 1 species
AUGUGUUCUUAUUUAUUGAUAGGCUUUUGGUUUACACGACCAAUCGCAGCGAGUGCUUGUCAAAAAGCUUUUGUAACUAAUCGUGUAGGGGAUUUUGGUCUAUUAUUAGGAAUUUUAGGUUUUUUUUGGAUAACAGGUAGUUUAGAGUUUAGGGAUUUGUUCAAAAUAGCUAAUAACUGGAUUCCUAAUAAUGGAAUUAACUCUUUACUUACUACUUUGUGUGCUUUUUUAUUAUUCCUUGGUGCAGUUGCGAAAUCCGCACAAUUCCCUCUUCACGUAUGGUUACCCGAUGCUAUGGAAGGGCCCACUCCUAUUUCGGCUCUUAUACACGCAGCAACUAUGAUUGCUGCGGGAAUUUUUCUUCUAGCUCGACUUCUUCCUCUUUUCAUAUCUUUACCUUUGAUAAUGAGUUUUAUUUCUUUAGUAGGUACAAUAACACUAUUCUUAGGAGCUACUUUAGCUCUUGCUCAGAGAGAUAUUAAAAGAAGCUUAGCCUAUUCUACAUUGUCUCAAUUGGGUUAUAUGAUGUUAGCUCUAGGUAUAGGUUCUUAUCAAGCUGCUUUAUUCCAUUUGAUCACUCAUGCUUAUUCAAAAGCUUUAUUGUUCUUGGGAUCCGGAUCCGUUAUUCAUUCAAUGGAACCUCUUGUUGGAUAUUCACCAGAUAAAAGUCAAAAUAUGGUUCUUAUGGGCGGUUUAAGAAAAUACAUUCCAAUCACAAGAACUACUUUUUUAUGGGGUACACUUUCUCUUUGUGGUAUUCCACCUCUUGCUUGCUUCUGGUCCAAAGAUGAAAUCCUUAGUAAUAGUUGGUUGUAUUCGCCCUUUUUUGGAAUAAGAGCCUCCUUUACUGCAGGAUUAACUGCCUUUUAUAUGUUUCGGAUAUAUUUACUUACAUUUGAUGGGUAUUUGCGUGUUCAUUUUCAAAAUUACAGUAGCACUAAAGAGAGUUCCUUGUAUUCAAUAUCCUUAUGGGGAAAAAGGAUACCCAAAGGAGUGAAUAGGGAUUUCGUUUUAUCAACAACGAAGAGUGGAGUUUCUUUUUUUUCACAAAAUAUACCAAAAAUUCAAGGUAAUACAAGAAAUAGGAUAGGAUCCUUUACUACGUCUUUUGGGGCUAAAAACACUUUUGCCUAUCCGCAUGAAACGGGAAAUACUAUGUUAUUUCCUCUUCUUAUAUUACUACUUUUCACUUUGUUCAUUGGAUUCAUAGGAAUCUCUUUUGAUAAUGGAGGAAUUGGUAAUGGAAUAGCAGAGUUAACCAUAUUAUCAAAGUGGUUAACUCCCUCAAUAAACUUUACCCAGGAAAGUUCUAAUUCUUUUGUAAAUUCAUAUGAAUUUAUUACUAAUGCAAUUUCUUCUGUAAGUCUAGCUAUCUUUGGUUUAUUCAUAGCAUAUAUCUUCUAUGGAUCCGCUUAUUCUUUUUUUCAGAAUUUGGAUUUAAUAAACUCUUUUUACAAAGGAAAUCCAAAAAAAGAAUUUUUAGAUCAAGUAAAAAAAAAUAUACAGUUGGUCAUAUAA